CCGCACGGGAGGUCUCUCCCCCUAGACUGUGCUCCAUGGGGUGGACCCAGGCCUUGUGCUGUUUUUACUUAUAUCCCCCAUGGAGACCAGAGCUAGGCACAGAGUACAGCAGCACCCCAACUUUCAGCCGGUUACCCAUACAUCUCUCAUGUCAUUAAGAACAAUGAAACUAUAGCACACACACAUUCCAGUGGAAAAAAAUAAUUUUCAAAGUUCCCUGGAGUUCGUUGCAGUGGAAUCCAUGGCCCAGGAGGAAGAGGUUUAGUUCAGCCUGGAAGGAGGGCAUCCCAUCUGAGCCGAGACCUCUUUGAGGGUCCUUGUAUGUCACCUGCUGUCUGUCGCUGGUUCGCCUUCUGGCAUCUUUGAUACCUCCCCAGUCAGAGACCUCUGUUUGUGCCAAGAAGUCAUCUGCUGUGUCUUCAAACAAGACCGUAGGAGGCAGAGCCUCUGGUGCUGGCACAUCGCAGAAGCUAAUACCUCGUCACCAACGGAGUGAAGAGACCACGGCUUUCCCCUUUCCUUCCUGUAUUCCAGCUUGCAUGGAUGCCAGCAGAAUUCAAUCUAAAGUGGAAAGAGAAAAGUAAACAAACCUGAGAACUUUCUGGAUCUCUGCAGAGCUGGGCACUUUGCCAGUACAGGUUUUAUUGGAGGGAAGUGGUGGGUUGCUUCCUCGUGUUCCCAUCGCACAGGCUGGAGUAAACUAGCUCCGUAAGCAGGCUUGCCUUUGGCCGACAGAUGACAACGUGUCUGCAUGUAGACAUAGACUUUACAAAGGGCUAGAGAUGGCUGGUGGUUCUCAUGGGGAGAUGGCCCUGAGGCUGAUCAGUGUCAUUCCAGUCAAAGGGCUGCCUCUUAGGGGCACGUGACAUCCCCCAGCACCCGACCUGCCCGGACAACCAGCCACCAGGCAGACAGGAGUGAGGGGGUGAACGAAGUAUGGACUGAAUCCACAGCCUACCUGGACAACCUCACCACGAAGACAGGAGUGAGGAGGUGAACGCAGUGUGGACUGAAUCCACAGCCUGCCUGGACAACCUCACCACGAAGACAGGAGCGAGGGGGUGAACACAGUGUGGACCAAAUCCACAGUCUGUCUGGACGACCAGCCACCACGCAGACAGGAGCGAGGGGGUUAACGCAGUGUGGACCGAAUCCACAGUCUGUCUGGAUGACCAGCCACCACGCAGACAGGAGCGAGGGGGUGAACGCGGUGUGGACCGAAUCCACAGUCUGUCUGGACGACCAGCCACCACGCAGACAGGAGCAAGGGGGUUAACGCGGUGUGGACCGCUGUCAUGGCUCACAGCAGCCUCAACCUCCUGGGCUCCAGUGAUCCUCCUGCCUCAGCCUCCCAAAGCACUGAGACGAACAUAGACGCAGGCACACAUGCACACAGGCUGUGAAAUGUAUGUCUCCAAGUGGCUGCGGGCCCCUGAAGGGCUGCUGCAGCCCUGGGGCUUUGCUCUUCAGAGCCAUGUCGAGGGAGCAGUAGCGGGAGCCACAUGUGACCCCCAGAUCCAGACAGAGACCACUUCCAGCCCCCAGGAGGCCCACACUCCCCUCCACUCCACAGCGCCCCCAAAGGUGCCCACGUCUCUGACCCCCACCCUGGGUGAGUAGGAGCACGUAGCAGGUGCCCCUCACGUGCAGCUCUCUCAUCCACACAUACUCACACAUGCUCACACAGGAAAGCACAUGCCCGCUGUGUCCUGCUGCAUUGCUGGGCAGUGUCCACUGCACGUCGCUCGCUGCAUUGCUGGGCAGUGUCCGCGGCAUGUCGCUCUCUGCAUUGCUGGGCAGUGUCUACUGCACGCCGCUUGCUGCAUUGCUGGGCAGUGUCUACUGCACGCCGCUCGCUGCAUUGCUGGGGAGUGUCCGCUGCAUGUCGCUCGCUGCAUUGCUGGGCAGUGUCCGCUGCACGCCGCUCGUUGCAUUGCUGGGCAGUGUCUACUGCACGGUGGACGCUCCUGCACUCAUGGAUGCUCAGGCUGCUUCCCGUUGGACGCGAUUGUGAGUGACGCUGCUGUGAGCCUCCAGAGUAAUUAAAAAAAGCAAUCUUCGUGUCAGCUCCUCCCUGGCAGACUUAGCCUGCCAGAGCUAAUGAGACAGGCCACCCUUCAGCCAACCUCAUUAGUGACGACCGUGCGGCCAGGAAGUCCUUGAUGUGCGAUGUGCAGUAGCUAACAAGGGCCCCCCUGCCGCGAAGCAACAACUUGCUGGGCAUGGAGCAGGGACCCACGGGUCCCCAUCAUUGCCUCCGGGCUGGUGGGACCCACAACUGUGCCAACACAGGGGCUUUGCUGGGCUGGCAAGUGCAGGGGGCCCCAGCCAGGCAGUUUCAGAAGAGCAGGCACGACGCCAAGGCCUAGGAAGGAGGCCACAGAGGCCCGAGUAUCCCAGGGGGUCUUUGCUGGGAUCUGGCAUUGGGUGCCUCUCCCGCUACGCAGGGAUGGAGAGAAAAGACACCGAGAGUCCUGGGGCUGAUGAAGAGCUUGAGCUCGGAGCCUGACCACCCACAGACAGCAGAGUGAUAGACGCCUCCAUGACACAGAACGCAGCCCUCCCUGCCUCCAGCCCACAAAGCCUCCUCCUCCACAGCCCGACAAGGGCCAGUGCUGGGCCAGCUGCUGGAGGACAGACAGCCACGCCAGGGGACACCACAGCUCCCAGCUCCCUCCUGCGCCUCCCCGGCCACCAUGAGGAUGGAAGACAGCACCAAGGACGAAGAAGAGAGCCUGAGCAGAGGCCAGGACCUGGGCCAACUCAGGGACCAGGCAAGCACACCUUGCCAUCUUGCCUGUCCCCUCUGCUGAGCAGGACUAUUGCUGGGACUGGCCCCCUCCACAGCACCCAAGCCAGCCUUGGGCAAAAGGUGCUGUCAUCCCAGCUGACCCCUGGUGCCAGCCCGGUACACACCAGUGAGGGGAUCACCAGGGAGGCCUGGUGCCAGCCUGGUGUGCGCCAGUGAGGGGAUUGCCAGGGAGGCCUCCACACAGACUGACCUCUUUUGGUGCUGGGGGAGGGGCUGCCACUGUAGAUGCUCUCAGCUGGGGAACCUUCCCCAGAGCAAGCUGCUGGAUGUGCAGGGGCCCCGGGCAUGCUGUCCAGCAGGUCCUCCCAGGCUCCCAGCUGCCCCCAUCCAUGGCCUUCCGACACAGCCGCCAGCCGCUGACCGACAUCAGGUGCCUGUGCAUUGCUGGGCCCACCCUCCAGCACUGUCACGUUCAUCUUAGCAAUGGCUCAUGAGGUUGGAUGGCUCCUGUCCAUGCUCAGCCAAGGAUCCACUCAGAGCAGUUCAGUGGCCUUCCCCUGGCUGCAGAGUAGAGCCGGAUGGAGUUGGACCUGGACGCAGGCCGCCCCCAGCCUGUGCUCCUGGCCACCGCUCAGCCUGCCCCUGCUGCCAACACGGUCCGAAUGACCACUGUGUGUCCCAUGCGCCUCCACGGGCCCAGAGGCUUGUGUGUGCCAGGCUCAGCACCUCAGGACCCUCGGUCUGAUCGCUCGAUGCCCAGGAAGCCCAGGAAGUGCCUGUGUCCCCCUCAUCCCCUGCACAGUCACCCCAACACGAGUCCCUGCACCCCCCUUCCUGACCUCCCUCACCCUGCACCUUUCUCCUGUACCCUCCAGGUCCUGGCCCCUCCCCUCCCCCAGAAUGAGCCCUUCAAUUUCUCACCCAACGAAAGCCUGGCCCUGCCCUGAGGCCCCCGUCAAGGGGCAGGGGCAGGGGCUGCUCCCACCCUCCUGUCAAGGCGACUCCAUUCCUGGGCCAUUCUCCAUCCUCCUCCCCAAAGUCCUCGCCUCCCGGGCCCAGGCUCUGCCACCUGCCUGGCUCAGCCUCCAGCCCAGCCCCCCGCCUUCCAUCUCCCCUUGCCCACCAGAGGGUGGGGCCCCAGACAUGGGCUCUUGUCCCUCUGGCCUGCCUGGCCCCCCCACAUGCACACAGGGUGAGGCGGGGCAGGGAAGCUGGGCCUUGGGUAUCCAGCCCUGGGGAAGAGCCAGGCCAGGGUGAGGCUGAGGGUGCUCAGCUGCCAGGUGCUCAGGAAAGCAGGGAGCAGGAAACUCCUGGAAUUGGGAAUUAAGUGCAAGGAGAGGGGAUGUGUGGAGCUGGCAGCAUUCUGCCAAGUGCUCCCCCAGAGAGCCAGCUGCACUGGAGCCCACACGCACAGAGCCCGGGGCGUGGCACUCAUACACACGCUCGUGUCUGCCUUCACGUGUGUAUAUGAGUGUGGAGUGUGCACACGCAUGCUUGUGUGUGCUUGAGCACAUUUGAGUGUGCACCUGUGGCUGCGGUGCCCAGGUGCAUGUAUGUAUGCUCCCGUGCAAGCACAUAUGUGUGUGCAUUGGGAGGCAGGAACCAUGACGACUGCACAGCCCAGCACGGCGCCCCCACGGUCACCCGCCCUGAAACGAAAGGGACCCCCAGGUCACCCAGGCUGGAGGGUUUCCAGUUGCUCCCCUCAGGGUCACUUAAGAGUCAGGCGAGUCCACAAGACCUGCUACUGCAAAAUCACAGCCUGCAGCAUCUCAGGGCCUGUCUUCCACCCCAGCCCAUUGUCAUUCUGCAUAAAAGCAGAAAAAAAAAAAAGGCACCAAACUGCACCAAGCGUGCAACAGAUGCAGCUCAAACAAACUCGUGUACGACACGGAAGAGACAAAAGCGUUGCCGGCAACUUGUUUGGGACACACGUGAUACAGAAAGGUGACGAAACAUCACAGAUCAGUGGGAAAACAACUAAACUGCAAACUGAAGAAUGGGCUUGGGCAGACCACUCACAGAAGAAAUCCCAAAAGCCAAUAAAUGACUUGAAACUAUCCAGUGUCACUAUUAAAGAAAUGCAGAUUUAAAUAAAGUUUGACUUUCAAACUAGCAAAAAA